UAGGGAAUCUUCGGCAAUGGACGAAAGUCUGACCGAGCAACGCCGCGUGAGUGAAGAAGGUUUUCGGAUCGUAAAACUCUGUUGUUAGAGAAGAACAAGGACGUUAGUAACUGAACGUCCCCUGACGGUAUCUAACCAGAAAGCCACGGCUAACUACGUGCCAGCAGCCGCGGUAAUACGUAGGUGGCAAGCGUUGUCCGGAUUUAUUGGGCGUAAAGCGAGCGCAGGCGGUUUCUUAAGGCUGAUGUGAAAGCCCCCGGCUCAACCGGGGAGGGUCAUUGGAAACUGGGAGACUUGAGUGCAGAAGAGGAGAGUGGAAUUCCAUGUGUAGCGGUGAAAUGCGUAGAUAUAUGGAGGAACACCAGUGGCGAAGGCGGCUCUCUGGUCUGUAACUGACGCUGAGGCUCGAAAGCGUGGUGAGCAAACAGG
rnacentral:rRNA from 1 species